UACGUAGGGUGCAAGCGUUGUCCGGAAUUAUUGGGCGUAAAGGGCUCGUAGGCGGUCUGUCGCGUCGGGAGUGAAAACUCAGGGCUUAACCCUGAGCCUGCUUCCGAUACGGGCAGACUAGAGGUAUGCAGGGGAGAACGGAAUUCCUGGUGUAGCGGUGAAAUGCGCAGAUAUCAGGAGGAACACCAGUGGCGAAGGCGGUUCUCUGGGCAUUACCUGACGCUGAGGAGCGAAAGCCAGGGGAGCAAACGGG
rnacentral:rRNA from 1 species